AUUGAACGCUGGCGGCAGGCCUAACACAUGCAAGUCGAAUGGUAACAGGAAACAGCUUGCUGUUUCGCUGACGAGUGGCGGUCGGGUGAGUAAUGUCUGGGAAACUGCCUGAUGGAGGGGGAUAACUACUGGAAACGGUAGCUAAUACCGCAUAACGUCGCAAGACCAAAGAGGGGGACCUUCGGGCCUCUUGCCAUCAGAUGUGCCCAGAUGGGAUUAGCUAGUAGGUGGGGUAACGGCUCACCUAGGCGACGAUCCCUAGCUGGUCUGAGAGGAUGACCAGCUACACUGGAACUGAGACACGGUCCAGACUCCUACGGGAGGCAGCAGUGGGGAAUAUUGCACAAUGGGCGCAAGCCUGAUGCAGCCAUGCCGCGUGUAUGAAGAAGGCCUUCGGGUUGUAAAGUACUUUCAGCGGGGAGGAAGGGAGUAAAGUUAAUACCUUUGCUCAUUGACGUUACCCGCAGAAGAAGCACCGGCUAACUCCGUG
rnacentral:rRNA from 1 species